CCCCGCUUCACCACAAAGGCCUGGGCUGGCUGCACAGGGGCAGAGGACACCAGUCACAGAGGCCAGGCACCCAGACCCCCAGUAAGUGCCCAGCAAGAGGGCUGGCUAAACGGCAGCUGGUGCCAGAACCAGCAAGUCCUGGCCCCAUCCCGGAUGACACCACGGUCCACUGAGAAGAGCAGCGCAGACCCCAAUCUCGGGACGCUCUUGGCAGGCAGGUGCUCCUGCCAGCGGUGGGAAGGCUCAGAACGCGCCUGGCACUUCUCCAGGACGGAAAUGGCAAUGGGGGGAGGAACAUUUUCUAUCGCUUUGCUGACAGCAAUAAACAUGUUAUUUCUCUGCAGCUUUUUAAAAGGACAUUAAUAAAUUAACACCUUUUAGAACCAAAA